rnacentral:lncRNA from 1 species
AUUAUAGAAACAGAGGUCUUUAACUUGUGGUUCUGGAAACAAAGCUUUUUCCUUAGAGACUUUAACAUAUAGGUGUCUUCCAAAGAGUGGAUAACCGACCUCGUUUUGAAGUGCUCUCAGAAAGCAAAUGCUUUCUUUGCAACCACAGCCGAAAAAUGUAGGCAUCUCAGGCCAUCGUCAGCCGUGAAGUAGUUGUUCUGUUUGUUAUUUUUUGCCUAGGCUUUUCCUUCUCCACACUCAGGAGUGGGUAACAGCAGCUGCAGAUGACACUGGCCCAUAUUGUGAGCUCUUGAAAUUGUAAAACACUACCUUGAAGUAUUCCUGCCCCUGAUUCCAAAAGAUAUAACUACACUCGAUUAAAUUACUCACAAGGAUGGCUGUACCAUUCAAAACACUUUAAGGCAUUUCUUCUGUUAGAGAGUAGCGAUAAGAAUAGUGCAAGAUUAAGACUCUUUUCCAAGAGCCAUGAUAACACUACCUGACAUUUAUAGAGUGCGAUACCUUUUCAAAAUAUACCUAAAUGUAUUACAAAGAGUGGCAGUAUAGGGUACCGGUCAAAAACUUAGGCUUUGGGGUCAAGGCGAUAUACUUUUAGCAAUGUAAAGGUUCCAUUUCUUUAUCUAUAAAAUAUAAAUAAUAUACCUAGGUUGUAGCAUUAUUUUAAAGAUUAGCUGUAGGUAAAUAUCUUAGUCUUAUGGCUACCCCUAGUUACCAUCACAUAGCUGGUAGCUAUUGUUGGUACUACCUUAAUGCAGGUGUCUUUUUCACCACUUAUGUUUCAGAUAUUUAGAUCUCAAAUAGUCAUUAGAGAUUGAUUGCUAAAGCACAGAAUUUUAAGAACAUCUAUAUCAGCACCAAGGUCCCUCAAAAAAUUGCUCUGCAUCUUUGCAAAGGAGCAAAAAGGAAUAAGACAGGCCUUAGACUCUUCUAUGACCAAAUAAACAACAUGCUUAUUAAAACCUCUCCCAAGAUCAUGGAUUCUGACUGACAUUUCCUAAAUCGUAAUUUCAAACAGUGUCAGCCCUGGCUACAAACAUUGAGGUUACGAAACCAGAAUCCGAAAUGUGGGUAGUGCUGUUGAAACACCAAAUAGUGCUGAAACAGAUUGAUUGGGCUUCCUGCUUCUGCCCUUCAAGCCAUCAGGAACACCUUCUUUACAUCUUUUUUUUUUUUUCUGAGGUGCUAAUUCUCUACACAAACAGUGCACAUGACCCCAGGCACCAAAUCCUUCCGGCUGCUCCCAAGUUGCCCAUAUUCCUUGGAAGAGUUUGGGAACCACAGAAAGCCCAACAACUGUUUCAGAGCCUGCCGCCUGGGGUGCCAAAGAAUUAUGCACGAAGAAAACCCUGCCGGGAAAAUGUAAGAUGCUAAACUAAGCAUCUUAAAGAAGAGAUGUGAAAGGAUGUAAAUGCUUUAAACCACCCGGCAAAAUUCAACUUAGAAAUGGAUAGAUAGUCACAUAAAGAUUCUAAGUUGAAAUACAAAAAUAACAUGCUGAAAGUUGACAUUUGGUUGUGGGAGAGCCAUUCACUGAUGGUGAGAUGGGAUUCUAUUCUGAUAACGCUACAUUUUAGAGAAGUCUGAAAUGCCAAAAUUGGAAAAUUUGAUCUAUAUAAACUAGAGAAGUCCUUUUCAGUACAAUAGGCUCUCCUUGAGCAUUUGAACAAUGUGAUGGAUUUAAAAAAUGAUAUACAUAUAUUAAGAGGAAUGCAUCAAAUUUGUUGAAAAAUCUAAGCCAAUGCUGUUGCCCUGAAAGAGGGAGAGAGCAGAGGAGCCUUGAACAUGGCUCCUCAGUCUAUUUAUAAUUUGAAAGGACAAAGAAUGGAAUAACUGGAAUGAAUUCGCUUUUACCUUGAUGUUAGUCUAGAAGUUUGAACUAUUUACUUUUUGUUCUCUCCCAUCCCUGGUCAUAACACAUUCGUUUCUUUUUCAGUUUCACUGAGAAAACUUGAGAAAGAAAUGAAACAUCAAGAGGUUUGAGGUUCGUAAGUAUGUCCACCUGUCUGCCAUUUUGCUAUUUCCAUCUUCUUCUUCCCUUACUAAAGCGUCAAGUCUGGUGUUAAAGAGUGAGUGAAUGAGAGUGUGUGUGUGUGUGUGUGUGUGUGAGAGAGAGAGAGAGAGAGAGUGUGCACGUGCUUUAGAUGGCUCUAUUCAAUUGCAGAAAAAUGCUUCUGAGGUGGCAUCUAGGGUGAAUCAUAUUACUUUAGGAGUUCUGCUAAUUAUCUGGGUGUGUUUUGCUUGAAUAUAGAUAAAUAUGUUUAUUCCAAGGUUUUCCUGACAAAAUUAUAAUUUUCACUUAAGGGUUUUUUUUUCUCUGAUUCUCAUACACCUUCUCCACAUCCCAAAACACAAACACACACACAGUUUAUAGCUCUGUGAUGUCAUUUUUCAAAGGGUAUUCCGAAUCUUUUAACUCUUCUUUUUUUAAAAAAAGACACCCUUCUGUUUUUCCUUCUUUUCCCAGGACCUGUAUGAACCCUACCCAGAGUGUCCCUCUAAUCCUCUUGUUUACUGCUCUAGUCAUGAAAUGUAAUUUAAUUUAUUCGGGAAUCUGAGUUUGGGGGCAAGCAGGAUGCACAUCAGAGUACACAAGAGGCAUGUCUUGGUGACUUCC